UUAAUGUUAUGGGUCACACUCCUGCUGCCUCUCAUCCUGCUGUGUGCUCUGCUGAGCUGCGGGCGCGGCUGCAGGACAUCUGCAAUCUGCGCACCUGCCCGUGAUGAGCGACCAGCCUUCAUAAGCCAGCGCGUCUUGAGAUCCGGUGCCGGAACGUAGCUUCUCGUACCCAGCACACUUCCCGUCGUCCUUCCUCGUCGUUGAGAUGUGUGUUUCGUCUCCCUGGACCCCCUUUGGAUUCCCUCUUGCCUUCCUGGACUUUGACCUCACGCCUGCCUACUGGCCACGACGACCUGACGUACGAGCCUGCUUUGCCCAUAUUGGACUUCCGCCUCCAUCUCAACACGCACCCUCAGCACCCUCUGGUAACCACGCUCAGAUAAUACUCACACAUAGUCACACGACAUAUCUUUGGGUUAAUCCCACACUGCACUCACAUAUUGUGCUGUCAAUAAACACCCUGACAGCAGACGA